GAGAGCAUUGGGGGGCGAUACUUUCGCUCUGAGUUGUCGGAAUAUCGAGCAAGUCGGAGCGAUCGAGCGAUCGGACGAUCCAGCGAUCCAUCGAUCCAUCGAUCCACCGACUCACCAUAUUCCGGUUUUUGGGUCUUCGGGAUCGGUGGGGCAUGUGCCGAGUGCUUUCCGCAAUUUGUCGUCAAUUUUUUCCUAUACAUGACAUUGUAUUUUGCGCCGUCAUGCCGCAUGGGCAAAAAUUUUGUGUGGAAAAACAAAUACUCAUGCUAUGAUAAAGUUGCCUAUUUUUGGAUAACCCGUUCAUCGAUAAAACGCUUGUGCCUAUAAUUUUGCAUUUUAAUGAGGAGCCGGUGAAGAAGAAGAAGAAGUCAAUAAACAAGGGAUUCGCUGGGCCUAUUGCCGUCGAAUGGCGUUAUCUUUUGUACGAUAAGACCGGACCCCAACGAAUGGAAAGCCGAGUAUUCCCUUAGGCGAUCAGACAAAGGAACCGAAUGCGCCCAAGGAUUGGCAAAUACUUUUCGCAUUGGCCAGAUAAGACUCGAUGCGGAUACCAGUGCCUGUAGGUGCCUGUAGGUGCCUGUGAUAAGCGCAGCCGAAAAGCACGUGCUAUUUACCACGAAUCUGACUGUCUAGGGACUUGCAUGCGAACACGUUGAAAAAUUGAAAAAAUUGGUAGUUCUACGACCAUGCUAUUAUGUGAUAAGAUAACGCAAAAAUUGGCAGAUUAAAGCAUAAAAAACGCAGUUCGAAAACCCGAA